rnacentral:rRNA from 1 species
CCUUGUCGGGUAAGUUCCGACCCGCACGAAUGGCGUAACGAUGGCCACACUGUCUCCUCCAGAGACUCAGCGAAAUUGAAGUGUUUGUGAAGAUGCAAUCUCCCCGCGGCUAGACGGAAAGACCCCAUGAACCUUUACUGUAGCUUUGCAUUGGACUUUGACGGGACUUGUGUAGGAUAGGUGGGAGGCUGUGAAGCAGGGACGCCAGUUCUUGUGGAGCCACCCUUGAAAUACCACCCUGGUGUCGUUGAGGUUCUAACCUGGACCCCUUAUCGGGGUCGGGGACCGUGCAUGGUAGGCAGUUUGACUGGGGCGGUCUCCUCCCAAAAGGUAACGGAGGAGCACGAAGGUUGGCUAGACACGGUCGGAAAUCGUGUUGAUAGUGCAAGGGCAUAAGCCAGCUUAACUGCGAGACCCACAAGUCGAGCAGAUGCGAAAGCAGGUCCUAGUGAUCCGGUGGUUCUGUAUGGAAGGGCC